UGGGGAAUUUUGGACAAUGGGGGCAACCCUGAUCCAGCAAUGCCGCGUGUGUGAAGAAGGCCUUCGGGUUGUAAAGCACUUUUGUCCGGAAAGAAAACGCCGUGGUUAAUACCCGUGGCGGAUGACGGUACCGGAAGAAUAAGCACCGGCUAACUACGUGCCAGCAGCCGCGGUAAUACGUAGGGUGCAAGCGUUAAUCGGAAUUACUGGGCGUAAAGCGUGCGCAGGCGGUCCGCUAAGACAGAUGUGAAAUCCCCGGGCUUAACCUGGGAACUGCAUUUGUGACUGGCGGGCUAGAGUAUGGCAGAGGGGGGUAGAAUUCCACGUGUAGCAGUGAAAUGCGUAGAGAUGUGGAGGAAUACCGAUGGCGAAGGCAGCCCCUGGGCCAAUACUGACGCUCAUGCACGAAAGCGUGGGGGAGCAAACAGGAUUAGAUACCCUGGUAGUCCACGCCCUAAACGAUGUCAACUAGUUGUCGGGUCUUCAUUGACUUGGUAACGUAGCUAACGCGUGAAGUUGACCGCCUGGGAGUACGGUCGCAAGAUUAAAACUUAAAGAAUUGACGGGGUCAUGCUG
rnacentral:rRNA from 1 species